GACGAACGCUGGCGGCGUGCUUAACACAUGCAAGUCGAACGGAAAGGCCCUGCUUUUGUGGGGUGCUCGAGUGGCGAACGGGUGAGUAACACGUGAGUAACCUGCCCUUGACUUUGGGAUAACUUCAGGAAACAGGGGCUAAUACCGGAUAGGAGCUCCUGCUGCAUGGUGGGGGUUGGAAAGUUUCGGCGGUUGGGGAUGGACUCGCGGCUUAUCAGUUUGUUGGUGGGGUAGUGGCUGACCAAGGCUUUGACGGGGAGCCGGCCUGAGAGGGUGACCGCCCCCAUUGGGCCUGAGGUACGGCCCAGACUCCUACGGGAGGCAGCAGUGGGGAAUCUUGCACAAUGGGCGGGAGCCCGAUGCAGCAACGCCGCGUGCGGGAUGACGGCCUUCGGGUUGUAAACCGCUUUCGCCUGUGACGAAGCGUGAGUGACGGUAAUGGGUAAAGAAGCACCGGCUAACUACGUG
rnacentral:rRNA from 1 species